UCCGAAUUGAGGUAGUGGCUAACCUGCCACGCUUUCACCGUGGAACCCGGGGUUCGAUUCCCCGAUUCGGAG